rnacentral:misc_RNA from 1 species
AACGCACCUUGCGCUCUUUGGUAUUCCGAAGAGCAUGCCUGUUUGAGUGUCAUGUAAUCAUCAAUCCGACUUUGCUUUUUGCGAAGCUCGGACUUGGAUUUGGAGGUUCUUGCUGGCUUUCCGUCGGCUCCUCUUGAAUGCAUUAGCUGGACUCCGUCGCGGUUCGCGGUGUGAUAACUUAUUCACCCUUGGACUUCGAAGUGAGACCGGCUUCUAAAGCCCCCCUUUACUUUGACCAUCUGGCCUCAAAUCAGGUAGGACUACCCGCUGAACUUAA